UGGUCUAUCUGGAGGAAUUGGCUAUCUCCAGGGCUCUUCAAUGGCUCAGAGUGGUAAGAUAGCAGUAGUUAGCACUGUUCCAGCUGUGACAGACAGUC
rnacentral:tRNA from 1 species